rnacentral:rRNA from 1 species
AUUGAACGCUGGCGGCAGGCCUAACACAUGCAAGUCGAACGCGUGGCGGACGGGUGAGUAAUGUCUGGGAAACUGCCUACUGGAGGGGGAUAACUACUGGAAACGGUAGCUAAUACCGCAUACUAUCAGAUGUGCCCAGAUGGGAUUAGCUAGUUGGUGGGGUAAAGGCUCACCAAGGCGACGAUCCCUAGCUGGUCGGAGAGGAUGACCAGCCACACUGGAACUGAGACACGGUCCAGACUCCUACGGGAGGCAGCAGUGGGGAAUAUUGCACAAUGGGCGAAAGCCUGAUGCAGCCAUGCCGCGUGUAUGAAGAAGGCCUUCGGGUUGUAAAGUACUUUCAGCGGGGAGGCGUUACCCGCAGAAGAAGCACCGGCUAACUCCGUGCCAGCCGCCGCGGUAAUUC